rnacentral:rRNA from 1 species
UGCCCUGGCAGUCAGAGGCGAUGAAGGGCGUGCUAAUCUGCGAUAAGCGCCGGUAAGGUGAUAUGAACCGUUAUAACCGGCGAUACCCGAAUGGGGAAACCCAGUGUGAUUCGUCACACUAUCAUUAACUGAAUCCAUAGGUUAAUGAGGCGAACCGGGGGAACUGAAACAUCUAAGUACCCCGAGGAAAAGAAAUCAACCGAGAUUCCCCCAGUAGCGGCGAGCGAACGGGGAGGAGCCCAGAGCCUGAAUCAGCAUGUGUGUUAGUGGAAGCGUCUGGAAAGGCGCGCGAUACAGGGUGACAGCCCCGUACACAAAAGCGCAUGUGCUGUGAGCUCGAUGAGUAGGGCGGGACACGUGGUAUCCUGUCUGAAUAUGGGGGGACCAUCCUCCAAGGCUAAAUACUCCUGACUGACCGAUAGUGAACCAGUACCGUGAGGGAAAGGCGAAAAGAACCCCGGCGAGGGGAGUGAAAAAGAACCUGAAACCGUGUACGUACAAGCAGUGGGAGCACCCUUUAGGGGUGUGACUGCGUACCUUUUGUAUAAUGGGUCAGCGACUUAUAUUCUGUAGCAAGGUUAACCGAAUAGGGGAGCCGGAGGGAAACCGAGUCUUAACCGGGCGUUAAGUUGCAGGGUAUAGACCCGAAACCCGGUGAUCUAGCCAUGGGCAGGUUGAAGGUUGGGUAACACUAACUGGAGGACCGAACCGACUAAUGUUGAAAAAUUAGCGGAUGACCUGUGGCUGGGGGUGAAAGGCCAAUCAAACCGGGAGAUAGCUGGUUCUCCCCGAAAGCUAUUUAGGUAGCGCCUCGUGAAUUCAUCUCCGGGGGUAGAGCACUGUUUCGGCUAGGGGGCCAUCCCGGCUUACCAACCCGAUGCAAACUGCGAAUACCGGAGAAUGUUAUCACGGGAGACACACGGCGGGUGCUAACGUCCGUCGUGAAGAGGGAAACAACCCAGACCGCCAGCUAAGGUCCCAAAGUCAUGGUUAAGUGGGAAACGAUGUGGGAAGGCCCAGACAGCCAGGAUGUUGGCUUAGAAGCAGCCAUCAUUUAAAGAAAGCGUAAUAGCUCACUGGUCGAGUCGGCCUGCGCGGAAGAUGUAACGGGGCUAAACCAUGCACCGAAGCUGCGGCAGCGACACUCAUGUGUUGUUGGGUAGGGGAGCGUUCUGUAAGCCUGUGAAGGUGUGUCGUGAGGCAUGCUGGAGGUAUCAGAAGUGCGAAUGCUGACAUAA